UACGUAGGGGCCUAGCGUUGUCCGGAAUUAUUGGGCGUAAAGAGCUCGUAGGCGGUGUGUCACGUCGGCCGUGAAAACCUGCAGCUUAACUGUGGGCGUGCGGUCGAUACGGGCAUCACUGGAGUUCGGCAGGGGAGACUGGAAUUCCUGGUGUAGCGGUGAAAUGCGCAGAUAUCAGGAGGAACACCGGUGGCGAAGGCGGGUCUCUGGGCCGAUACUGACGCUGAGGAGCGAAAGCGUGGGGAGCAAACAGG
rnacentral:rRNA from 1 species